rnacentral:lncRNA from 10 species
CUUAUUCCUGAUAAGUAGGUAUUUUAUUUCUCUGACUUCUUUCAAGGUGUUCUCUUUGUAAAGCCUCUGAGCCCAAGCCUGCAGGUAUACAUCCAGAUGGCCUGAAGCAACUGAAGAAUCACAAAAGAAGUGAAAAUGGCCGGUUCCUGCCUUAACUGAUGACAUUACCUUGUGAAAUUCCUUCUCCUGGACAAUGAAUCUCAGGAGCUCCCCCACCGAGCACCUUGUGACCCCCCUGCCCCUGCCUGCAAGAGAACAACCCCCUUUGACUGUAAUUUUCCACUACCUACCCAAAUCCUAUAAAACUGCCCCACCCCUAACUCCCAUUGCUGACUCUCUUUUAGGACUCAGCCCACCUGCACCCAGGUGAUUAAAAAGCUUUAUUGCUCACACAAAGCCUGUUGGUGGUCUCUUUACAUGGAUGCACAAGACACUCUUGACUUUGAUUUUCUGCAGUAUGAAUAUGGGACAUGCAUGAAAUUUGGUGCCGUGACUCAGAUCGGGGGACCUCCUUUGGGAGAUCAAUCCCCUGUCCUCCUGAUCUUUACUCCAUGAGAAAGAUCCACCUACAACCUCAAGUCCUCAGACUGACCAGCCCAAGAAACAUCUCACCAAUUUCAAAUCCGGACCCUACUGAAAAUCAGACUGUUCAACUCACCUGGCAGCCACUCCCAGAGCCCCUGGAACUCUGGCCCAAGGCUCUCUGACUGACUCCUUCCCAGAUCUUCUCAGCUUAGCAGCUGAAGACUGACACUGCCCAAUCGCCUCAGAAGCCUACAGGACCAUCACAGAUGCUCUAGGUAACUCUCACAGUGGAAGGUAAGUCCAUCCCCUUCUUAAUACGGAGGCUACUCACUCCACAUUACCUUAUUUUCAAGGGCCUGUUUCCCUUGCUUCUAUAACUGUCGUGCGUAUUGACAGCCAGGCUUCUAAACCUCUUAAAACUCCCCAACUCUGGUGCCAACUUAGACAAUACUCUUUUAAGCACUCCUUUUAAUUAUCCCCACCUGCCCAGUUCCCUUAUCAGGCCGAGAUACUUUAACUUAAUUAUCUGCUUCCCUGACUGUUCCUAGGCUACAGCCACACCUCAUUGCUGCCUUUUCCCCCAGUUCAAAGCCUCCUUCACAUCCUCCCCUUGUAUCUCCCCACCUUAACCCACAAGUAUGACACCUCUACUCCCUCCUUAGUGACCGAUUAUGCACCCCUUACCAUCCCAUUAAAAACUAAUCACCCUUACCCCACUCAAUGACAAUAUCCCAUCCCACAGCAUGCUUUGAAAGGAUUAAAGCCUGUUAUCACUCGUCUGUUACAGCAUGGCCUUUUAAAGCCUAUAAACUCUUCUUACCAUUCCCCCAUUUUACCUGUCCUAAAACCAGACAAGGCUCUCAUACAUGCCCUGCUCUUGUUUACACUGCUGGUUUACACUGUUUCUCCAAGCCAUCACAGCUGAUAUCUCCUGGUGCUAUCCCCAAACUGCGACUCUUAUCUCUUGAAGUAAAUAAGUAAUCUUUGCUGACAGGACUAUGCUGAAUCUCCUUAGGCACUCUCUAAUUAGAUGUCCUAGGUCCUCCCAAUUCUUAGGCCUUUAAUACCUGUUUUUCUCCUUCUCUUAUUCCGUUUAGUUUUACAAUUCAUACAGAACCGUAUCCAGGCCAUCACCAAUAAUUCUAAAUGACAAAUGUUUCUUCUAACAACCCCACAGUAUCACCCCUUACCACAAGAUCUUCCUUCAGCUUUAUCUCUCCCACUCUAGGUUCCCACAUCACCCCUAAUCCCGCUUGAAGCAGCCCUGAGAAACAUCGCCCAUUAUCUCUCCAUACCACCCCCAAAAAUUUUCACCACCCCAACACUUUACCACUAUUUCGUUUUAUUUUUCUUAUUAAUAUAAGAAGACAGGAAUGUCAGGCCUCUGAGCCCAAGCUAAGCCAUCAUAUCCCCUGUGGCCUCCAGGUACACAUCCAGAUGGCCAGUUCCUGCCUUAACUGAUGACAUUGUCUUGUGAAAUUCCUUCUCCUGGCUCAUCCUGGCUCAAAAGCUCCCCCACUGCGUACCUUGUGACCCCCACUCCUGCUCGCCAGAGAACAACCCCCCUUUUCCCUUUACCUACCCAAAUCCUAUAAAACGGCCCCAUCCCAUCUCCCUUCACUGACUCUCUUUUCAGACUCAGCCCGCCUGCACCCAGGUGAAAUAAACAGCCAUGUUGCUCACACAAAGCCUGUUUGGUGGUCUCUUCACACGGAUGUGCAUGAAACUACCUACACCCAUACGGAAGGGAACAAAUCAUGAAAAGUAAUGGAAUGCUACAGCCUAGUCAGUUUUGAGAAAAGGCUAACCAACAACAACAACAACAAAUCAUAGUCAUGCUCAGAUUGCACAUGAACAAAAAAAUGUUGGAGAGAAACCAUUGAAAUAACUCACCGGUCCUCUUGUGUUGCUGCUUAUCUGAUUAUCUGAGGUCAAGGGAACUGAGGACAACAAAGGAAAUUAGGUCUUUCAUAGUUCUCAUUAAAUGCUGGAGGAGUCUGACUACUGCUGAGCUGAGCACUUCAGCGGCUUUGGAAAAGGAAGUGUGGUUACUUAUUUCACCACCUUCAUUGUGCUGGAGGAAAUAAGAAAUAGCUCUGAGACUAAUAAUAACAGAAACGGCAUCCACAGCAGCAGAGCCCAGUUGCACUUCCUAAAGGCAGUAUAAAUAAUUAAGUGUCUCUAUAGGCAAGCCACUAGGAAUAAACGAAAAAGAGCUGCAAUUGCUGAUGUGGUUUCACCCCAGUCCUGCCCAUGUUUCUUAACAGGAAAGGGAGUUGCAAUGCCAAUAAUAAAAUCUUAGAGCUGGAAAGAACAUUUAUUUGCCUGUUUAUUCAUUCAUUUACUCAGUCAUUAUUGGGCACUUACGGUAGACUAGUCGUUAUGUUACCUACUAGGAGCUUGGAUAUCACCCACUUUUAUGUCUUCAUUCUUUGAGCGAAGAGCUAUCUACAUGGUGAGUCCAAAAGUGCACAAGAGGAAACCUGGCUUGUCCAAACCAAGGGCUAUAACUUAGUUUCCUAACUGCCCAGCAAAAAUAUUUUCAGUUAGGCUCCACUUUAACUCUUAAAAAUGUGGCUUGUGAAUUACUUGAUGAAUAAUUUUACUUUCUUGAUUAUAUUAAGCACAAAAAGGAAGAGAAACACAAUUACAAUAUUAAAAUUGUGAAAGGCAUCUCACCAAGGUGCUUCUUCUGAGAACUCCAUGUCUCCAUUGCUUAUCUGAAACCUUUAUUUUGCUUGGCCUCUGGGUCCCACUGCCUCUGGAUUUACUUCUCACCUGCUGACUGCUCCUUCUUUUUUACUUUUUCUGUGUGCUCUCCAUCUUCCUGACCUCUUUAAUUUGAAUGUCCUGGGACUCAGCCCUUUGGCUUCUCUUUGCAAUCAGUGCACACACUCUAGAUUUACCCAUCCAAUGCCACAGCCUUAAAUAACAUCAAUAUUCUUCUGAUGGCUCUCAAAGUAAUAUAUUUUGCUCUGACGUCCCUCUUUAAUUCUACAUGUAUAUCAGACUGUCUGUCUAUUUGGCAGCCCCAGUGUGAUGUUCCUCUAGAAUCACUACCUUAACAUAUGUGAAACAAACUCUUUUCACCCCACCCCUCACCAAAAAAAUCUAUUUUUUAUAUACGUAUCCAUUCAAGAAAAGGAAACCUUCUUUCAUUUGCUCGGGUAAAACACUCUGAGUAACCGGUUCCUCUAAUUUCUCUAUUUCCCAUAUUCAGUCCAUGAGCAAAUUUUACAACUGUUAACUUUGAAAUAAUACACACAGCAUCCAAUCACUUAUCUAAACUCUGUCGCUGCCGCUCGGGUCUAAGCACCAUCAUGUCUCACCUGGAUUAUUGUGACAGUCUUCUUAAUGGGUUUUCUGCAUUUCCUUUUUGCUCCACUGUAGUCUAUGCUUCUCAGAGCAGCCUAAGUCAAUCCUCUGCUCAAAAUGCUCCAAUGCACACUGCACUCUAUCAAAGCUCUAACUAUUGCUAAAAUGACCCAUUGUCUCCUUUAUUCCUGCUACCUCUCAAGUCACAUGCCCUAUCCCCUAUGCCUCCUCCAACUGUCCCUCUGACGCAGCUAUCGAGUACCUUGCUGUUCCUCAAACACAGUAAGCACACCCUAUCUUAGGGUGUUUGCAUUAUCUAUGCAAAAACACUGCAUGGUGUGCUUUUUUUUGCUAUGCACCCGCAUGGUUUAUCUUCACAGAGAUCUUGGCUAACACUAGCACCUUUUCAUUCUAUGGUCCUUUCCUCUGCUUUAUUUUUCUCUUUGCACCUUUCACCGUCUGAUCCAUACUUUUUGAUUGUUUUCCCCUCAAGGACAUAAGCACCAUGACAAUAGGAAUGUCACUUUAUUUAUUUAUGUCUCCUUCUACGUAAGUGCAUUGGCCCCAGAAAUCUAGACCUCUAAUUAUAAAGAGGCCAUUUUUUUUUCCUCCAGCUUCAAAAUAAUUGCACUUCAAAAUUGUAAUACUUUGUGAACAAAGGAAAAAGAUUUAAAAUUAUGGGUCUAGGGUCAAGGCAAUGGUGGAAGAUAAAAAGGAAAGAUGUUACAUUCCUUGGGGGACAAGGUUGGUCUUGAAGAAGAAAGAAAACAAUGAGGAUGUUGAAUGAAGUAAAAAACAAUGUUGGCCAGGCGCGGCGACUCACGCCUGUAAUCCCAGCACUUUGGGAGGCAAAGGCGGGUGGAUCACAAGGUCAGGAGUUUGAGACCAGCCUGGCCAACAUAGUGAAACCUCGUCUCUACUGAAAAUACAAAAAUUAGCCGGGCAUGGUGGUGCACGCCUAUAGUCCCAGCUACUCUAGGGGCUGAGCCAGGAGAAUCGCUUGAACCCAGGAGGCGGAGGUUGUGGUGAGCUGAGAUCACGCCACCUCAUUCCAGCCUGAGCAGCCAACCGAGAC